rnacentral:rRNA from 1 species
CCUACGGGAGGCAGCAGUGGGGAAUAUUGCACAAUGGGGGAAACCCUGAUGCAGCGACGCCGCGUGAGCGAAGAAGUAUUUCGGUAUGGUAAGCUCUAUCAGUAGGGAAGAAAAUGACGGUACCUGAGUAAGAAGCUCCGGCUAAAUACGUGACAGCAGCCGCGGUAAUACGUAUGCAGCAAGCGUUAUCCGGAUUUACUGGGCGUAAAGGGAGCGUAGGCGGGCUGCCAAGUCUGAUGCGAAAUACCGGGGCUCAAGCCCGGGGGUGCAUUGGAAACUGGCAGGCUGGAGUGCCGGAGAGGCAGGCGGAAUGCGUGGUGUAGCGGUGAAAUGCGUAGAGAUUAGGAGGAACACCGAUGGCGAAGGCGGCCUGCUGGACGGUGACUGACGCUGAGGCUCGAAAGCGUGGGGAGCAAACAGGAUUAGAUACCCGAGUAGUC